rnacentral:rRNA from 1 species
UGGUGUAGCGGUGAAAUGCUUAGAUAUCACGAAGAACUCCGAUUGCGAAGGCAGCUCACUGGACUGUAACUGACGCUGAUGCUCGAAAGUGUGGGUAUCAAACAGGAUUAGAUACCCUGGUAGUCCACACAGUAAACGAUGAAUACUCGCUGUUUGCGAUAUACAGUAAGCGGCCAAGCGAAAGCGUUAAGUAUUCCACCUGGGGAGUACGCCGGCAACGGUGAAACUCAAAGGAAUUGACGGGGGCCCGCACAAGCGGAGGAACAUGUGGUUUAAUUCGAUGAUACGCGAGGAACCUUACCCGGGCUUGAAUUGCAACUGAAUGAUGUGGAGACAUGUCAGCCGCAAGGCAGUUGUGAAGGUGCUGCAUGGUUGUCGUCAGCUCGUGCCGUGAGGUGUCGGCUUAAGUGCCAUAACGAGCGCAACCCUUAUCUUUAGUUACUAACAGGUCAUGCUGAGGACUCUAGAGAGACUGCCGUCGUAAGAUGUGAGGAAGGUGGGGAUGACGUCAAAUCAGCACGGCCCUUACGUCCGGGGCUACACACGUGUUACAAUGGGGGGUACAGAAGGCAGCUACCUGGUGACAGGAUGCUAAUCCCAAAAGCCUCUCUCAGUUCGGAUCGAAGUCUGCAACCCGACUUCGUGAAGCUGGAUUCGCUAGUAAUCGCGCAUCAGCCA